rnacentral:rRNA from 2 species
GAGCGGAUCUUCGGGAGCUUGCUCCCGAUGGUCAGCGGCGGACGGGUGAGUAACACGUGGGCAACCUGCCUGUAAGACUGGGAUAACUCCGGGAAACCGGGGCUAAUACCGGAUAAUUCAUUCCCUCACAUGAGGGAAUGCUGAAAGACGGCAUCUCCCUGUCCCUUACAAAUGGCCCCCCGCCCCAUUACCUAGUUGGGGAGGUAACGGCCCCCCAAGGCCCCAAUCCGUACCCAACCUGAAAGGGGGAUCGGCCACCCGGGAACGGAAACCCGGCCCAAACCCCAACGGAAGGCACCAUUAGGGAAUCUCCCCCAAGGGACAAAAGUCUGACGAACCACCCCCCCGGGACCAAAAAAGGCCUUCGGGCCGAAAAGCUCUUUUGUCAGGAAAAAACAAUUACCGAAUUACCUGCCGGUCCCUUGACGGUACCUGACCAGAAAGCCACGGCUAACUACGUGCCAGCAGCCGCGGUAAUACGUAGGUGGCAAGCGUUGUCCGGAAUUAUUGGGCGUAAAGCGCGCGCAGGCGGUCCUUUAAGUCUGAUGUGAAAGCCCACGGCUCAACCGUGGAGGGUCAUUGGAAACUGGGGGACUUGAGUGCAGAAGAGGAGAGCGGAAUUCCACGUGUAGCGGUGAAAUGCGUAGAGAUGUGGAGGAACACCAGUGGCGAAGGCGGCUCUCUGGUCUGUAACUGACGCUGAGGCGCGAAAGCGUGGGGAGCGAACAGGAUUAGAUACCCUGGUAGUCCACGCCGUAAACGAUGAGUGCUAAGUGUUAGAGGGUUUCCGCCCUUUAGUGCUGCAGCAAACGCAUUAAGCACUCCGCCUGGGGAGUACGGCCGCAAGGCUGAAACUCAAAGGAAUUGACGGGGGCCCGCACAAGCGGUGGAGCAUGUGGUUUAAUUCGAAGCAACGCGAAGAACCUUACCAGGUCUUGACAUCCUCUGCCACUCCUGGAGACAGGACGUUCCCCUUCGGGGGACAGAGUGACAGGUGGUGCAUGGUUGUCGUCAGCUCGUGUCGUGAGAUGUUGGGUUAAGUCCCGCAACGAGCGCAACCCUUGUUCUUAGUUGCCAGCAUUCAGUUGGGCACUCUAAGGAGACUGCCGGUGACAAACCGGAGGAAGGUGGGGAUGACGUCAAAUCAUCAUGCCCCUUAUGACCUGGGCUACACACGUGCUACAAUGGAUAGAACAAAGGGCAGCGAAGCCGCGAGGUGAAGCCAAUCCCAUAAAUCUAUUCUCAGUUCGGAUUGCAGGCUGCAACUCGCCUGCAUGAAGCCGGAAUCGCUAGUAAUCGCGGAUCAGCAUGCCGCGGUGAAUACGUUCCCGGGCCUUGUACACACCGCCCGUCACACCACGAGAGUUUGUAACACCCGAAGUCGGUGGGGUAACCUUU